rnacentral:rRNA from 1 species
UACGUAGGGUGCAAGCGUUGUCCGGAAUUAUUGGGCGUAAAGAGCUCGUAGGCGGUCUGUCGCGUCGGCUGUGAAAACCCGAGGCUCAACCUCGGGCCUGCAGUCGAUACGGGCGGACUAGAGUUCGGUAGGGGAGACUGGAAUUCCUGGUGUAGCGGUGAAAUGCGCAGAUAUCAGGAGGAACACCGGUGGCGAAGGCGGGUCUCUGGGCCGAAACUGACGCUGAGGAGCGAAAGCGUGGGGAGCAAACAGG